CCUACGGGUGGCAGCAGUGAGGAAUAUUGGUCAAUGGGCGCGAGCCUGAACCAGCCAAGUCGCGUGAGGGAUGACGGUCCUACGGAUUGUAAACCUCUUUUGCCGGGGAGCAAGCGUGCGUUCGUGAACGCGCGUCGAGAGUACCCGGAGAAAAAGCAUCGGCUAACUCCGUGCCAGCAGCCGCGGUAAUACGGAGGAUGCGAGCGUUAUCCGGAUUUAUUGGGUUUAAAGGGUGCGUAGGCGGGAUGCCAAGUCAGCGGUAAAAAUGCGGUGCUCAACGCCGUCGAGCCGUUGAAACUGGCGUUCUUGAGUGGGCGAGAAGUAUGCGGAAUGCGUGGUGUAGCGGUGAAAUGCGUAGAUAUCAGGAGGAACACCGGCGGCGAAGGCGGCCUGCUGGACUGCGACUGACGUUGAGGCUCGAAAGCGUGGGGAGCGAACAGGAUUAGAUACCCUGGUAGUC
rnacentral:rRNA from 1 species